UGGGAAGCGAUGCCUGGCUGAGUGAGGGAGUUUCCCGAUCUGAUCAGAGCGAGGAAUUGCUCAGCUGCCCCUCUGAAAUCCUGGGAUCACCAUGGCAACAGAAGAGUCCAUCAUCCGCAUCCCUCCAUACCACUAUAUCCAUGUCCUGGACCAGAACAGCAAUGUGUCCCGCGUGGAGGUUGGGCCAAAGACCUACAUCCGGCAGGACAAUGAGAGGGUACUGUUUGCCCCUGUGCCCAUGGUGACUGUCCCCCCACGCCACUACUGCACAGUGGCCAAUCCUGUGUCCCGGGAUGCCCAGGGUUCAGUGCAGUUUGACGUCACAGGACAAGUACGGCUUCGACAUGCUGACCUGGAGAUCCGGCUGGCCCAGGACCCCUUCCCCUUAUACCCAGGGGAGACACUGGAAAAGGGCAUCACCCCGCUGCAGGUGGUUCUGCCCAACACUGCCCUGCAUCUUAAGGCAUUGCUGGAUUUUGAGGAUAAGAAUGGAGACAAGGUGGUGGCAGGAGACGAGUGGCUAUUUGAAGGACCUGGUACAUAUAUCCCCCAGAAGGAGGUGGAGGUCGUGGAGAUCAUUCAGGCCACAGUCAUCAGGCAGAACCAGGCCCUGCGGCUGAGGGCCCGCAAGGAGUGCCGGGACCGGGAUGGCAGGGAGAGGGUGACAGGAGAAGAAUGGCUGGUCCGGUCAGUGGGUGCAUACCUACCAGCAGUGUUUGAAGAGGUUCUGGAUUUGGUGGAUGCUGUGAUCCUCACGGAAAAGAUAGCCUUGCACCUCCGGGCUCGGCAGAACUUCCGGGACUUCAGGGGAGUGACCCGCCGCACUGGGGAGGAAUGGCUGGUGACAGUGCAGGACACAGAGGCCCAUGUGCCAGAUGUCUAUGAGUUGGUGCUGGGGGUUGUACCCAUCACCACCCUGGGCCCUCACAACUACUGCGUUAUCCUCGACCCAGUCGGACCAGAUGGCAAGAACCAGCUUGGGCAAAAAUGUGUUGUCAAGGGAGAGAAGUCUUUCUUCCUGCAGCCAGGGGAGAGGCUGGAGCGAGGCAUCCAGGACGUGUAUGUGCUGUCGGAGCAGCAGGGACUGCUGCUGAGGGCUCUGCAGCCCCUGGAGGAAGGGGAGGACGAAGAGAAGGUCUUGCAUCAGGCCGGGGACCGCUGGCUCAUCCGAGGGCCCAUGGAGUACGUGCCGUCCGCCAAGGUGGAGGUGGUGGAAGAGCGUCAUGCCAUCCCUCUGGAUGAGAAUGAGGGCAUCUACGUGCAGGAUGUCAAGACCGGAAGGGUGCGCGCUGUGAUUGGAAGCACCUACAUGCUGACGCAGGAUGAAGUCCUGUGGGAGAAGGAGCUGCCUCCUGGAGUGGAGGAACUGCUCAACAAGGGACAAGACCCCCUGGCCGACAGGGGUGAGAAGGCAACAGCUAAGGUCCCUAAGCCGUCAGCCCCCCGGAACAAGACCCGUGUGGUCAGCUAUCGCGUCCCUCACAACGCUGCGGUGCAGGUGUACGACUACCGAGAGAAGAGAGCUCGCGUGGUCUUUGGGCCCGAGCUGGUGUCACUGGGACCUGAGGAGCAGUUCACGGUGCUGUCCCUCUCGGCCGGGCGGCCUAAGCGUCCCCACUCCCGCCGUGCUCUCUGCCUGUUGCUGGGGCCUGAUUUCUUUACGGAUGUCAUCACCAUCGAGACCGCAGACCACGCCAGGCUGCAACUUCAACUUGCUUACAACUGGCACUUUGAGCUGAGUGACCGGAAGGACCCCCAAGAGACAGCCAAGCUCUUCUCAGUGCCCGACUUCGUAGGUGAUGCCUGCAAAGCCAUCGCAUCCCGAGUGCGGGGUGCUGUGGCCUCUGUCACCUUUGAUGACUUCCAUAAGAACUCGGCCCGCAUCAUCCGCACUGCUGUCUUUGGCUUUGAGACCCUGGAUGGCAAAGACUUGCCCCAGCCCCGGGACCGGGCUGUCUUCCCCCAAAAUGGGCUGGUGGUCAGCAGCGUGGAUGUGCAGUCUGUGGAGCCUGUGGACCAGAGGACUCGGGAUGCCCUACAACGCAGUGUCCAGUUGGCCAUCGAGAUCACCACCAACUCCCAGGAGGCAGCUGCCAAGCAUGAAGCUCAGAGACUAGAGCAAGAAGCCCGAGGCCGGCUUGAGAGGCAGAAGAUCUUGGACCAAUCAGAAGCUGAAAGAGCUCGCAGGGAACUCUUGGAGCUGGAGGCUCUGAGCACGGCUGUGGAGAGCACCGGGACAGCCAAGGCAGAGGCUGAGUCCCGCGCAGAGGCGGCACGGAUUGAGGGCGAAGGCUCUGUCCUGCAGGCCAAGCUGAAAGCGGAGGCCUUGGCCAUUGAGACGGUGAGUGGAGGCGAGGCUGUGGAAGGGGAGGAUUUACCGAGUGCCCACUUAGUGCUAGGAGCUGGGUGGGUAUUCUUCACCUGUGUUUAUUAAUUUGCACAACAAUCUAUAAGAGACAUGAUAGUCUCAAGUAGUUCACAGAUAAGGAAACCAAAUUUUGGUAAGGGCAGAGUAGUAAACCAGACAGACCACCUCCUGCCCUCAAAGAGCUUACUGCUUAUACUUAUAUUGAGCUUUCUAUGUGCCAAGCACCUUGAGAAUACUAUGAGCAUGUAUUAUUUAAUCUUCACAACAACCCUAUGAGGUAAGUACUGUCCUUUGUUGUACAGGAGAGGAAACACAAACUCAAAGGUGAAAUGACUUGCCAAAGUCAUGUAACUAGUAAGUGCAUUUAAGUUUGGGAAGUCUGGCUCCAGAGACUUUGCUCUUGACCAGGGUGCUGUACCACUUUCCUGUGCUGCUGGAAUGAGCCGAGUCUGACUGAAGAGGCAGAUGAACUUGAGGACGAUAAAUGCAGUGAAGGGUGCAGGGUGAGGAGGCUGAGCUCCAGCGGGUACGGAA